CUGAGGUUCCUCGGGAGGAUUUUCUCUUCGGAGAGUGUUGAAACUCGAUUCCUGGAGAUUGCAAGCCAGUUAGCUGCUAACUUCGUGAAAACAUUUCUGGAAUACAAGUUCCUCCUAUCGGCAACUAGGUGAUGUUUCGCACAGUCAUUACAAGUUGUUGUCUUUCGCCUUCUACUUCUGCAAAUUUGAGACUUAUUUCUGAGUAUCUCUCUUCCAUU